rnacentral:tRNA from 1 species
AGCUCAGUUGGUAGAGCAUUUGCCUCGUAAGCAAAAGGCCAAGGGUUCGACUCCCUUAACAG